rnacentral:rRNA from 1 species
UGAGUAACCUGCCCUUAACUCUGGGAUAAGCCUGGGAAACUGGGUCUAAUACCGGAUAUGACUCCUCAUCGCAUGGUGGGGGGUGGAAAGCUUUAUUGUGGUUUUGGAUAGACUCGCGGCCUAUCAGCUUGUUGGUGAGGUAAUGGCUCACCAAGGCGACGACGGGUAGCCGGCCUGAGAGGGUGACCGGCCACACUGGGACUGAGGCACGGCCCAGACUCCGUACGGGAGCAG